AGUGAACGCUGGCGGUAGGCCUAACACAUGCAAGUCGAACGGCAGCACAGUAAGAGCUUGCUCUUACGGGUGGCGAGUGGCGGACGGGUGAGGAAUACAUCGGAAUCUACUUUUUCAUGGGGGAUAACGUAGGGAAACUUACGCUAAUACCGCAUACGACCUACGGGUGAAAGCAGGGGAUCUUCGGACCUUGCGCGAUUGAAUGAGCCGAUGUCGGAUUAGCUAGUUGGCGGGGUAAAGGCCCACCAAGGCGACGAUCCGUAGCUGGUCUGAGAGGAUGAUCAGCCACACUGGAACUGAGACACGGUCCAGACUCCUACGGGAGGCAGCAGUGGGGAAUAUUGGACAAUGGGCGCAAGCCUGAUCCAGCCAUACCGCGUGGGCGAAGAAGGCCUUCGGGUUGUAAAGCCCUUUUGUUGGGAAAGAAAAGCAGCAGGUUAAUACCCCGCUGUUCUGACGGUACCCAAAGAAUAAGCACCGGCUAACUUCGUG
rnacentral:rRNA from 1 species